rnacentral:rRNA from 1 species
GACGAACGCUGGCGGCAUGCCUAAUACAUGCAAGUCGAGCGAACAGAUGAAGUGCUUGCACUUCUGACGUUAGCGGCGAACGGGUGAGUAACACGUAAGGAAUCUACCUAUAAGCGGGGGAUAACAUUCGGAAACGGGUGCUAAUACCGCAUAAUAUCUUCUUCCGCAUGGAAGAAGAUUGAAAGACGGCUCUGCUGUCACUUAUAGAUGACCUUGCGGUGCAUUAGUUAGUUGGUGGGGUAACGGCCUACCAAGACGAUGAUGCAUAGCCGACCUGAGAGGGUGAUCGGCCACAUUGGGACUGAGACACGGCCCAAACUCCUACGGGAGGCAGCAGUAGGGAAUCUUCCGCAAUGGGCGAAAGCCUGACGGAGCAAUGCCGCGUGAGUGAAGAAGGCCUUCGGGUCGUAAAACUCUGUUAUAAGAGAAGAACAAAUUGUAGAGUAACUGCUACAGUCUUGACGGUAUCUUAUCAGAAAGCUACGGCUAACUACGUG